UAAUACGAGGGGUGCUAGCGUUAUUCGGAAUUAUUGGGCGUAAAGGGUGCGUAGACGGCACAUUAAGUCUGCUGUUAAAUCCUCCGGCCUAACCGGAGAACUGCGGUGGAAACUGAUGAGCUUGAGGGUGAGAGAGAGAAGUGGAAUUCCCGGAGUAGCGGUAAAAUGCGUGGAUCUCGGGAGGAACACCAAUGGCGAAGGCAGCUUCUUGGCUCAUUUCUGACGUUGAGGCACGAAAGCGUGGGGAGCAAACAGGAUUAGAUACCCUGGUAGUCCACGCCGUAAACGAUGACCACUAGAUGUUAGCCUGGCUUAGCUGGGUUAGUGUCGUAGCUAACGCGUUAAGUGGUUCGCCUGGGGGUUACGGUCGCAAGGCUA
rnacentral:rRNA from 1 species